rnacentral:lncRNA from 1 species
UCCCUCCCCCAGUUGAAAAACAAAUCCACGUCUCUCUCAAAACCAAGUUGAGGCAUGGAUCCCGUGUAAUCAAGGAGCUUAUUGCGUCAAGAUUAUUUUCUUCCUCUGGAUCAGGUUCGUUUUCCCACAGUUUUUGUUCUGAAUUUGUUUUCUUUCUGGUGUAUACUUGAAUCCACAUUAACUUCAGAUUCAGGUUCAAUUUUUUUCAAUCACCCCUUCAGAUAGUGUUGCGCGCUCAAGGGAUUCAAUCUAGAAUCUUCUCACCUACAGUACAACCUAUGGAUGUCCGAGAUCGGUCGGGGCAUAACUAUGCUCCUCAGGUGAGUUUAUAAAUUAAGAAACAUGUUGUCUAAACAAACAUAAAC